rnacentral:rRNA from 1 species
CCUACGGGCGGCAGCAGUGAGGAAUAUUGGUCAAUGGUCGGGAGACUGAACCAGCCAAGCCGCGUGAGGGAUGAAGGUACAGAGUAUCGUAAACCUCUUUUGUCAGGGAACAAAGGCGGGGACGCGUCCCCGGAUGAGUGUACCUGAAGAAAAAGCAUCGGCUAACUCCGUGCCCGCAGCCGCGGUAAUACGGGGGAUGCGACGGUUCUCCGGAUUUAUUGGGUUUAAGGGGUGCGCAGGCGGUCUGUUAGGUCUGCGGUAAAAGCCCGGGGCGCAACCCCGGCCCGCCGUUGAAACUGGCAGUCUCGAGUUGGAGAGAAGUAUGCGGAAUGCGCGGUGUAGCGGUGAAAUGCAUAGAUAUCGCGCAGAACUCCGAUUGCGAAGGCAGCAUGCCGGCUCCACACUGACGCUGAGGCACGAAAGCGUGGGUAUCGAACAGGAUUAGAUACCCCUGUAGUC